AGCAGUGUGGAGUAGUGGUUAGCAAUCUGGUUUUAUAACUCAGAGGUUGUAGGUUCAAUACCAAUUUAGGGUUA